rnacentral:rRNA from 1 species
GUGUCAGCAGCCGCGGUAAUACGUAGGGGGCGAGCGUUGUCCGGAUUUACUGGGCGUAAAGCGCGUGUAGGCGGUUUGCCAAGUCCGGGGUGAAAGGCGGGGGCUCAACCCCCGAGCUGCGCUGGAAACUGGCAGACUUGAGUGUCGGAGAGGGGAGUGGAAUUCUCGGUGUAGCGGUGAAAUGCGUAGAGAUCGAGAGGAACACCCGUGGCGAAGGCGGCUCCCUGGCCGAACACUGACGCUGAGACGCGAAAGCGCGGGGAGCGAACGGGAUUAGAUACCCCGGUAGUCC